CCGCUUUAUAGCUCAGUUGGCAGAGCGGUGGACUGUAGAUGACUAAUGGCAGAUAUCCAUAGGUCGCUGGUUCGACUCCGGCUCGACGGA